rnacentral:rRNA from 1 species
UACGAGUGAGAAUGUUGGCAUGAGUAGCGAGACGUGGGUGAGAAUCCCACGGGCCGUAAACCCAAGGUUUCCAGGGGAAGGUUCAUCCACCCUGGGUUAGUCGGGACCUAAGCCGAGGCCGAAAGGCGUAGGUGAUGGACAACAGGUUGAUAUUCCUGUACCGCCAAUAAGCGUUUGAGAGAUGGAGUGACACAGUAGGAUAAGCUAACCGUACUGUUGGUUAUGUACGGCUAAGCAUUGAGGCAGUCUAAAUAGGCAAAUCCGUUUGGACAAUGCUAGGAUGUGAUGGGGAAGCCCUUCGGGGCGAAGUAGCUGAUUUCACACUGUCAAGAAAAGCUUCUAUCGAGUUUAAAGGCGCCCGUACCGUAAACCGACACAGGUGGGUGAGGAGAGUAUCCUAAGGCCAGCGAGAGAACUAUUGUUAAGGAACUCGGCAAAAUGACCCCGUAACUUAGGGAGAAGGGGUGCCUGUCUAUGACAGGCCGCAGAGAAUAGGCCCAAGCGACUGUUUACCAAAAACACAGGUUUCUGCUAAGUCGCAAGACGAUGUAUAGGAGCUGACGCCUGCCCGGUGCUGGAAGGUUAAGGGGAUCUGUUAGAGCAAUCGAAGCAGUGAACUUAAGCCCCAGUAAACGGCGGCCGUAACAAUAACGGUCCUAAGGUAGCGAAAUUCCUUGUCGGGUAAGUUCCGACCCGCACGAAAGGCGUAACGAUUUGGGCACUGUCUCAACAAUAGACUCGGUGAAAUUGUAAUCCCGGUGAAGAUGCCGGGUACCUGCGACAGGACGGAAAGACCCCAUGGAGCUUUACUGUAGCUUGACGUUGGGUCUUGGUACUACAUGUACAGGAUAGGUGGGAGACUAUGAAGCAUGGACGUCAGUCUGUGUGGAGUCAUCCUUGGGAUACCACCCUUGUAGUACUGGGAUCCUAACCAUAGGCCUUGAAUCAGGUCUUGGAACACCGUCAGGUGGGCAGUUUGACUGGGGCGGUCGCCUCCUAAAAAGUAACGGAGGCGCUCAAAGGUUUCCUCAGCACGGUCGGAAAUCGUGCGAAGAGUGUAAAGGCAAAAGGAAGCUUGAUUGCAAGACAUACAGGUCGAGCAGGGACGAAAGUCGGACUUAGUGAUCCGGUGGUACCGCAUGGAAGGGCCAUCGCUCAACGGAUAAAAGCUACCCUGGGGAUAACAGGCUUAUCUCCCCCAAGAGUCCACAUCGACGGGGAGGUUUGGCACCUCGAUGUCGGCUCAUCACAUCCUGGGGCUGUAGUAGGUCCCAAGGGUUGGGCUGUUCGCCCAUUAAAGUGGUACGCGAGCUGGGUUCAGAACGUCGUGAGACAGUUCGGUCCCUAUCCGUCGCAGGCGUAGGAAAUUUGAGAAGACCUGUCCUUAGUACGAGAGGACCGGGAUGGACGUACCUCUGGUGUACCAGUUGUUCUGCCAAGGGCAUGGCUGGGUAGCUAUGUACGGAAUGGAUAAGCGCUGAAAGCAUCUAAGCGCGAAGCCAACUUCAAGAUAAGAUUUCCCACCGUAAGGGUAAGACCCCAGGAAGACUACCUGGUUGAUAGGUCGAAGGUGUAAGUGCAGUAAUGUAUUUAGCUUAUCGAUACUAAUAGGUCGAGGACUUGACC